AAUCAACGCUGGCGGCGUGCCUCAGACAUGCAAGUCGAACGCGAAAGUUCCCUUCGGGGAGCGAGUAGAGUGGCGCACGGGUGAGUAUCACGUAGGUAAUUUACCUUCGGGUGGGAAUAACAGCCGGAAACGGCUGCUAAUACCGCAUAAUGCAGCGGCUCGACAUCGAGACAGUUGUUAAAGCGGGGGAGUCGCAAGACCUCGCGCCUGAAGAGAAGCCUGCGGCAGAUUAGCUAGUUGGUGGGGUAAUGGCUCACCAAGGCGACGAUCUGUAGCCGGCCUGAGAGGGCGGUCGGCCACACUGACACUGACAUACGGGUCAGACUCCUACGGGAGGCAGCAGUCGGGAAUUUUGGGCAAUGGGCGAAAGCCUGACCCAGCAACGCCGCGUGAAGGAUGAAAUCCCUCGGGAU
rnacentral:rRNA from 1 species